rnacentral:rRNA from 1 species
GAUGAGCGCUAGCGGGAGGCCUAAUACAUGCAAGUCGAGCGGUAGAGUGACUUCGGUUGCUUGAGAGCGGCGAACGGGUGAGUAACGCGUACACAAUCUACCUUUAAGAGGGGAAUAGCCCUGGGAAACUGGGAUUAAUGCCCCAUGGCAUCACGAGACGGCAUCGUUUUGUGAUUAAAGCUGAGGUGCUUAGAGAUGAGUGUGCGUCUGAUUAGCUAGUUGGUGCGGUAACGGCGCACCAAGGCGACGAUCAGUAGGGGGCGUGAGAGCGUGGACCCCCACACGGGUACUGAGACACGGACCCGACUCCUACGGGAGGCAGCAGUAAGGAAUAUUGGUCAAUGGAGGAAACUCUGAACCAGCCAUCCCGCGUGCAGGAAGAAUGCCCUAUGGGUUGUAAACUGCUUUUAUCUGGGAAGAAAAGUCGGGAUUUAUCCUGAUCUGACGGUACCAGAGGAAUAAGCACCGGCUAACUCCGUGCCAGCAGCCG